ensembl:lincRNA
GGCGGACCUUGGAGGGGGAGGAGGGAAUGGGGGAGGGGCGGAUACUGGGGCUGGAAUGCGGGCAGGCUUGGAGCAGGGCAAGGGGGUAGCGGAGGGAGGGCAGGGGGCUGCCAGGGCCAGGGCUUCCCCCUGAGACUCCAGGUCACGCCGGAGGUGAGAAGCAGCGGCUGGAAUCUGGACACCCGCUCCAUUCCCUGCCCGGUGGGGGAAGGGGCUGCUGGGCUCCCCCUCACCCCUACCUCCCAGCCCGCGUGACUCCCCCCAUGGCCAAGGUCACCGUCAGCUGUUUCCUUUCAAUUAGCAUCAGGAAUGUUCCCGGCGCUGGGCUCUGCGCCUGCCCGGGCAGGGACCCCCUUGUUCCGGCUGGAGCUGCCCGGGCGUGGGCUCUGGAAGGACAAGUGCAACACCCCCCACACGCGUACACACCCCUCCCGCCUCCCCACGACAGCCCGCCUCCCCACGACAGCCCGCCCUGCCCGCUGGGUGACCUUGGGCUGGUUGCGUAACCUCUCUGGGCCUUUCAAAAAUAAACGCCCAGCAAAGUGAAGGCCUCUGCCGGGAUCUUGUUGGGUUUGGACCUUAUUAGCUCAUCUCCUGGAGCCGGAUUAUCUCACGCGCUCGCAGACGACGCCCUCGCCGGGUCCUGGGCCGCCUACAUCGCGACGCGCGCCCAGAAUUUGCUCCAAGCGCCGUAAAAAUAAUCCCUCGAGGACAGAACGCCUGCGUGCGCUGGGAGUGGGCGUCGGGGCGGAGGGCGUGUCCCCUCACGGGCGCCCGAGUCCCGCCAGCCGGUGGAGGCCCAGAUACCGGAGUGACCUGCCCCGGGACACGCCAGCGGGGCACCUGCCAUCCUGCCCUAAACCCUCCCAGGCCUUUUGGCUGAGAAACUCAGCUUCUCCACCCAGCAUGGUCCUGGCAGCAGAGACCACGUCCCAGCAGGAGCGGCUCCAGGCCAUAGCAGAGAAGCGGAAGCGGCAGGCGGAGAUCGAGAACAAGCGCCGGCAGCUGGAGGACGACCGGAGGCAGCUGCAGCACCUGAAGUCCAAGGCGUUGCGGGAGCGCUGGCUGCUGGAGGGGACGCCGUCCUCGGCCUCGGAGGGCGACGAGGACCUGAGGAGGCAGAUGCAGGAGGACCAGCAGAAGGCGCAGCUCCUGGAGGGCUCCAUCUCCAGGUGGGCGGGCAGAGCGCGGCCGGACCCCGACCCUGACCCGGACCCUGACCCUAAAACCCUGACCCUAAAACCCUGACCCUGGCCCUAAAACCCUGACCCGGACCCUGACCCUAAAACCCUGACCCUAAAACCCUGACCCUGGCCCUAAAACCCUGACCCCGACCCUGGCCCUAAAACCCUGACCCGGACCCUGGCCCUAAAACCCUGGCCCCGACCCUGGCCCUAAAACCCUGACCCUGACCCGGACCCUGACCCUGACCCUAAAACCCUGGCCCUGACCCUGGCCCUAAAACCCUGGCCCUGACCCUGGCCCUAAAACCCUGGCCCUGACCCUGACCCUGACCCAGAGGCGGCGGGCAGCCUGUUGGAGCCAAGCACUAAGAAUCGCUGCCCAGCACCCCAUCUGAGCAGAUGUGUGAGGGACGUGGGCUCGGGGCGGCUCCAGGGUCCCCGAGGACAGGACGGAGUUGCCGGCACCGGCCUCCCCCGGGGCUUCCUGGCGCCAGCCCAGCUGGCUGGGCUGUGGCUGCCCGCUCUGCUCGGCGGCAGCUGGGCCCGCAGGAAGCGGGAGGGGCAGGAUGGGGAACGCGGUCAUCCCUGGGCCGGCGGGACACAGGCCUGGAGUUUCCGGCACGCGGGAGUCCCAGCUCCACUCGGGGCGCAGGUCAGGGCGAGGGAAGUGACGACCAGAAUCCCAAGCGCCUGCUCUGGCCGCGGAAGAGGCCCCCGGGCGGAG